GCCUUAGUAACGGCGAGUGAAGCGGCAAAAGCUCAAAUUUGAAAUCUGGUACCUUUGGUGCCCGAGUUGUAAUUUGGAGAGGGCAACUUUGGGACCGUUCCUUGUCUAUGUUCCUUGGAACAGGACGUCAUAGAGGGUGAGAAUCCCGUGUGGCGAGGAGUGCGGUUCUAUGUAAAGUGCCUUCGAAGAGUCGAGUUGUUUGGGAAUGCAGCUCUAAGUGGGUGGUAAAUUCCAUCUAAAGCUAAAUAUUGGCGAGAGACCGAUAGCGAACAAGUACAGUGAUGGAAAGAUGAAAAGAACUUUGAAAAGAGAGUGAAAAAGUACGUGAAAUUGUUGAAAGGGAAGGGCAUUUGAUCAGACAUGGUGUUUUGCGCCCUCUGCUCCUUGUGGGUAGGGGAAUCUCGCAUUUCACUGGGCCAGCAUCAGUUUUGGUGGCAGGAUAAAUCCGUAGGAAUGUAACUUGCUUCGGGAAGUAUUAUAGCCUGCGGGAAUACUGCCAGCUGGGACUGAGGACUGCGACGUAAGUCAAGGAUGCUGGCAUAAUGGUUAUAUGCCGCCCGUCUUGAAACACGGACC
rnacentral:rRNA from 1 species